UUCUGGCUCAGGAUGAACGCUAGCGAUAGGCCUAACACAUGCAAGUCGAGGGGCAUCACAUGAAGUAGCAAUGCGGAUGGUGGCGACCGGCGCACGGGUGAGUAACACGUAUGCAACCUGCCUUCAACAAGGGGAUAACCCGUUGAAAGACGGACUAAUACCCUAUAACACAGGGGCCCCGCAUGGGGAUAUUUGUUAAAGAUUAAUCGGUUGAAGAUGGGCAUGCGUUCCAUUAGCUAGUUGGUGGGGUAAUGGCCCACCAAGGCAACGAUGGAUAGGGGAACUGAGAGGUUUAUCCCCCACACUGGUACUGAGACACGGACCAGACUCCUACGGGAGGCAGCAGUGAGGAAUAUUGGUCAAUGGACGCAAGUCUGAACCAGCCACGUCGCGUGAAGGAAGACGGCCCUACGGGUUGUAAACUUCUUUUGCAAGGGAAUAAAGUGAGUCACGUGUGACUUUUUGCAAGUACCUUGCGAAUAAGGAUCGGCUAACUCCGUGCCAGCAGCCGC
rnacentral:rRNA from 1 species